GACGUAGGAUGCAAGCGUUAUCCGGAAUUAUUGGGCGUAAAGCGUCCGUAGGCGGUUUGUUAAGUCAGAAGUCAAAGCUCUGAGCUCAACUCAGAAAUUGUUUCCGAUACUGGCAAACUAGAGACAGAUAGAGGCGAGUGGAAUUCUGCAUGUAGGGGUAAUAUCCGUAGAUAUGCAGAGGAACACCAAAAGCGAAGGCAGCUCGCUGGAUCUGUUCUGACGCUCAGGGACGAAAGCGUGGGGAGCGAACGGG
rnacentral:rRNA from 1 species